UUUGAUGAUGUGUUGCUUAAUUGUGAGGUGCAGACAACUCCAAGUCGCUGCUCUCCAGGGAGAACCUACUUGGAGUCCUACAAUCAAAUGAGAUCUGAGGCAUUUUCUGAUAU
rfam:Zea mays cultivar B73 chromosome 10, whole genome shotgun sequence.